GCUUCUUACCCUUCCUUCUCUAUUGUUGCAGGUGCUUCAACCCUUAGCGAACCCUCGCCGCCGACGAAAGAAUGUCGAAAGCUCACGCACACAAACACACACACUCACUCCUCCCGCUCGAGAUCCCGUGCUUCGGCACGGCAGAAACAAGAAAAGCCGGUUUUUUUACUUCGUCCAAAUGAAUCUUCCGCUGGUGUGUGUGCGUGUAUUCGCUCGCAGUUGUGUGCCGUCUUGAGCGUUUGUAAUUUCGUCUUAAGCUUAAAAGCUAACCCUGUAAAAGAUUGCCCAUUCGUACGUGUAUGUGUGUGGCUGUGUGCGUGUAUUCCGCUUGUGGACUGUCCAGAAGUGGCGGCUAUUGUGAGCUUCUUCCUCACGUCGUUGCAUCUUGCGCCCUUAUUGCGCCCGAGCCCGAUACACAAAUAUCAAUGCAGACAUGCAUUUAAAGGCCUUCCCGAGAAUGCACCAGAAUGUGACUGCAUUAAAAUGCAUCUACAGGGGGAAAGGGGAAUUGAUAACAUUAAGAGCCACCGUACGUACGAUAUCACCGAUUCCGCCACCGUUUGGCUCGUGAUCGAGCGACCCGGGGACACGUGCACGUGUACGGGCAAGGAAAGGACAAACACUGACGAAUGUCGGGGGAAUCGCGGCAUAUCGCGGCAGUUGCAGUUGAAGUAGCAGUGCCGCCGCCGUUUUAUUUUAAUUGCCCUGUUGUGUUUUUACAGAUAGGACCAGGUUGUCGGCGCGACCGCGCGGACUGUCUGGACUAGAAGCAUUUCAGCGUGGCGCGAUAGUGUUCUUAUCGAACGGACCAAGUACACCGAUGACAUGACACACAAGAUCUUAUCGGAGAAGGGAGUGCAAGAAUGUGGUAAGGUGUUUUAAGGUUGUUCAAGUCCUAAAGAGGAAGGCAUUUAUUACACCCAUCAGCCUGCCAUGUUCAUUAGUGCAAUCGCCAUUUUUAUGCACUUUUAAUCCGCCACGGAGCGGCUUACCAGCAUCCCGCUAUUUCUCGUUGAAUAGAAAAGUGCAAAAGGAAACUUAUACCACAUUUUAUUCGUACGAUCAGCUCCACGAUCUAAUCCAUAUCUACGUACACGCACAUCGCGAUCAAGUAUGCACGCAACGUCAGGCGCACGGGAGCUCUAGCAGCAUUAGCAGCGGCAGCAGCCUCGCAUUAAAACGAGUUCCCGAACGAUAGCACAUACACUCGACGACCUGGGUUAGUGAACUCUUGCUCUCCUUUCGAUGCCUAGCCCAAACGGGGGAGAAAUUGUUUCGCUUUUUGCCAUCCUUCUUCCCGAAUUCCCUGCCUCGCCUAAUGCAUGAUGUGCUCCACCCGCACUGCCGUGGCCGUCAGCCCGACGAGAGCCUUAGGACCAACGUUCAACAUGUACAGCAAGCAUCAAACCACUCACCUCCCAGGCUCGGACAGUUGUCAGAGCCCUUCGAGAGUCGGGUCGGAGGCGGAGGUUUGGUAGUAAAUUCCUUCCCCGGGCUCUCCGGCACACACACACAAAAAGGGCUACGGCCACUAGUUCACCGCUAAUAGUACAAUGCCGGGGCAGACGACGGCAUCCGCUAGAUGUAUGUACGCUAUCCCGACAUUCGGCAGAGCCGGGAGAAGAGCCGGUAACCCGCUGGCGGUGAAAUAAUCUAAGGCAAAAAAUUAUCCAGCCACGCCAAAGUCUGACCAAAGACCGAAAUAAUAAUAAUAAAACAAGGGGCGGUGAGGGAGAAAACGUUAAACGCAAAA